GUCCAGACUCCUACGGGAGGCAGCAGUGGGGAAUAUUGCACAAUGGGGGAAACCCUGAUGCAGCGACGCCGCGUGAGCGAUGAAGUAUUUCGGUAUGUAAAGCUCUAUCAGCAGGGAAGAAGAUGACGGUACCUGACUAAGAAGCCCCGGCUAACUACAUGCCAGCAGCCGCGGUAAUACGUAGGGGGCAAGCGUUAUCCGGAUUUACUGGGUGUAAAGGGAGCGUAGACGGCGAUGCAAGCCAGAUGUGAAAGCCCGGGGCUCAACCCCGGGACUGCAUUUGGAACUGUGUGGCUGGAGUGUCGGAGAGGCAGGCGGAAUUCCUAGUGUAGCGGUGAAAUGCGUAGAUAUUAGGAGGAACACCAGUGGCGAAGGCGGCCUGCUGGACGAUGACUGACGUUGAGGCUCGAAAGCGUGGGGAGCAAACAGGAUUAGAUACCCCGGUAGA
rnacentral:rRNA from 1 species